UCCGUGCCGUAAGCAUCCCUAAACAAUAAGAUUGUGCGCCAUUGUUGAAAUUUCACCCACCAUAAAUACGCGCGCGUCACUGUUCCUAUCAAUUCCUAUACAACCAUAACUAUUUUUCCGAAAUAAACUUUCUUAGGACUAAUGUUUACUUGAAUAGUGUGUACUCUCCUAGAUAUUGAUGGUUGACUUCGAAGAAAGCCGACUCCUCAAAUGUAUGAAAACGUUCUGAAUAGUGACCCUACGUUAUCAGUCGAGGCAAACUACCAUCUCUCUCAGACCGUCAACGCUUUCGAAAGAUACAAUGAUCACGGAAAUCAUACUUGAAAUCUACAUAAAUCACAGUUUUAAAUAGUGAGAGUGAACAAUAACUUGAAACAUGUAGAGUUAUUCUGUGCUAUUCGGAAUCGUCAACUCUUUUCCGUCCAUCAGUAGGUUUAGAAAUAGAUAAGAAGAUGUUAUGGAUGAAAAAUAUGUUGAGAUCAAAUGGACACUUUUAACGAAUCAACUAUUUAUGAAUUGAUUUAUUUCAACGAAUGAAUUAUUUCACCGUUUAGUGCAGUUCAGUUUCAAUCAACUUAAUUCAGAGUUUACAUGGAUGUGAAUAAGAGCAGACUGAAUGUAACCAGCAUGUUUGAAAAUUAGUGACAAACCGGUAACCAUUUCGCCAUUGAAUUCAAUCUCAGUUCAGUUCAGUUUCAAUCAAUUUAAUUCUAUUAUUUGAAUUUCAAAUUGAAUUUAAAUCAAUUACUUUUUCAUCAAAUCAUU